rnacentral:rRNA from 1 species
AUUGAACGCUGGCGGCAUGCUUUACACAUGCAAGUCGAACGAGUGGCGGACGGGUGAGUAAUGCAUGGGAAUCUCGCUUAUGGAGGGGGAUAACUACGCGAAACUGUAGCUAAUACCGCGUACCAUUGGAUGAGCCCAAGUGGGAUUAGGUAGUUGGUGAGGUAAAGGCUCACCAAGCCGACGAUCCCUAGCUGGUCUGAGGGGAGGACCAGCCACACUGGGACUGAGACACGGCCCAGACGCCUACGGGAGGCAGCAGUGGGGAAUAUUGGGCAAUGGGGGAAACCUGAUGCAGCCAUGCCGCGUGAAUGAAGAAGGCCUUCGGGUUGUAAAGUUCUUUCGGUAGAGAGGCGUUAACUACAGAAUAAGCACCGGCUAACUACGUGCCAGCAGCCGCGGUAAUAC